AAAUAAGAAGCGAUAAAUUGCAACCAAUUUCGACUUGGUCCUAGAUAGCUAUAUCCUUAUUUA
rnacentral:tRNA from 1 species